GGACGGGUGAGUAACGCGUAGGUAACCUGCCUGGUAGUGGGGGAUAACUAUUGGAAACGAUAGCUAAUACCGCAUAACAGUAGAUAUCGCAUGAUAGCUGCUUGAAAGGGGCAAUUGCUCCACUACAAGAUGGACCUGCGUUGUAUUAGCUAGUAGGUGAGGUAACGGCUCACCUAGGCGACGAUACAUAGCCGACCUGAGAGGGUGAUCGGCCACACUGGGACUGAGACACGGCCCAGACUCCUACGGGAGGCAGCA
rnacentral:rRNA from 1 species